rnacentral:lncRNA from 10 species
CACCCCUACAUAGUUUCUAAUAAACAUUACUGUGUUGGCUUCAUAAUUAUAUUAUAUCAAGGGGAUAUAUUAUUAUUUACUUCUAAAGGCUGCAAAAAAAUCUGAAUUAAAGAUUUGCUCCUCAGCACUUGGAGAAGAGGUGGCAGCGGGGCAAACUGUCUCCAGACCACCACUGUAGGGAGAAGCAACCCGAUGCCAUGACACUGGCGGAGUGGAGAAAACAUUCCCACCACUGAGGAUUUUGCUAUGAGGGUUAUCAUGAUUAUGAUAUGACCGACCUGCUGGGAAGUUUCCUAGCAUUGAGAGGAAAAAGAAACAGUGGCCAGAUACUUUCUCCUAAAAAUAUACAGGAAGGACAAUGUGGAGGCCAAGACUAAUCUGGGUGAUGAGCUCCAGGCCUGCCUCAAAACAGGAGCUGAUGGGAGUGAGUUUCUGAUCUUCUUCCAAGGUUGUUUCAAUAUCCAAAGUAGGUCCUCCAUGGCAGCUGCUAUUCAAUCAGCCACAUUUCCUGAACUGGAUAUUUUUACUUUGCAGGAAAAAGAAAAACAAACCAAAAAAACCUAACUUGAUUAGGAAGGAGGUUGGAAGGUCACUUCAUAGUUAGAAACUAAGAUUAGUGCUUGUGACUUGGCUGGAUUUCCCAGAUGACUUACCAUUACCCUGUGCAUCAAUGAGCAAAGUAUUUAUUUUGCAUGAAGGGGAAGGGAGAAACUUCAUCAGCACAGGAUCCAGGCCCCACAGCCACGACCAGCUAAGGAUUCUCCCUUCAACCCGCAAGACGUAUUCUGAUUUGCUCACUCAUGAGACUGGAGCUGUGUCUUGAAGUAGAUCGCGCACAGUAGUUCAUUCCCAAGGCCAUAUUCCUGCUGGACGAUAGAGCUGGGCCUGCACUAAAGGUCUGUCAAUAUUGCCCCAAUAUGCUGAGGCCUAUCCUUCCUAAGAUAUGGCUUUGUCCACGGUCCUCCCCAGAAGGGGCUCUUGUAAGGCUCCCAAGGGAGUGAAAUUCAGACUCUGACCCAGAGACUCUCUUCACCUCAUCAUCUUCUCCUGGGAGUCUUCAUCCAAUAGUGGCAAUGUCAUUCUUCCCUUCUAGAAAGAGUUGUGCUGGCUGGGUGUGGUGGCUCACACCUGUAAUCGCAGCACUUUAGGAGGCCAAGGUGGGCAGAUCACUUGAGGUCAGGUGUUCGAGACCAGCCUGGGCAACAUAGUGAAACACCAACUGUACUAAAAAUACAAAAAUUAGUUGGGCGUGGUGGCAGGCGCCUGUAAUCCCAGCUACUCAGGAGGCUGAGGUAGGAGAAUCACUUGAACCCGGGAGGCGGGGGUUGCAGUGACCUGAGAUCGUGCCACUGUACUCCAGCCUAGGCAACAGAGCAAGACUACAUCUCAAAAUAAAUAAAUAAAUAAAUAAAAAUAGAGUUGUGCUUGCUUCUUUCUUAGCUUUUGUAUUGAUCCCUUUUCACAUAUAUAAAAGUAGUUCUUGACAAAAUGAUAUAAUAUUUAGAAGUGAAAAGAAAAAAACUAAGCUGGUUGGUGUGGUGACUUAUGUCUAUAGUCUCGGCACUUUGGGAGCCUGAGGCAGGAGGAUCGCUUAAGGCCAGAAGUUUGAGACCAAUCCUGGUGACUUAGCAAGACUCUGUGUCUAUUUAUUAAAAAAACAAAAACAACAAAACUAGUCU